GGGGGCGUAAAGGUUUCGACGGGGAUCAAGAACUGAGGUAAGCGAGCAGAGCGGGCGGAAGCUCUUUAAUCGCCGCACUUUAAAUUUAAACGCUAACAAUAACGAAUUAGCUUACGCUGCCUAAUUAGGCGCGUCGUCUAUGCCGGGAGGACCCACGGACCCGACAGGGCGUCAAACAAGUGGGGAACGUAUCAUCGGCGCGGCCCGUCCGUUGAUAGGCACAAGGGUCUACUAAACUGAUAAGCCUGCUGUUCGGCGUAUCGGCAAGGGAAUGUUAAAAGAAUAAGCUACGCUCGUAGAAAGCUUUGGGGAACGGUUUUCGGACAGGGGUUCGACUCCCCUCGCCUCCACCA
rnacentral:tmRNA from 1 species